rnacentral:rRNA from 1 species
UGGGGAAUUUUGGACAAUGGGGGAAACCCUGAUCCAGCCAUCCCGCGUGUGCGAUGAAGGCCUUCGGGUUGUAAAGCACUUUUGGCAGGAAAGAAACGUCAUGGGUUAAUACCCCGUGAAACUGACGGUACCUGCAGAAUAAGCACCGGCUAACUACGUGCCAGCAGCCGCGGUAAUACGUAGGGUGCAAGCGUUAAUCGGAAUUACUGGGCGUAAAGCGUGCGCAGGCGGUUCGGAAAGAAAGAUGUGAAAUCCCAGAGCUCAACUUUGGAACUGCAUUUUUAACUACCGGGCUAGAGUGUGUCAGGGGGAGGUGGAAUUCCGAGUGUAGCAGUGAAAUGCGUAGAUAUGCGGAGGAACACCGAUGGCGAAGGCAGCCUCCUGGGAUAACACUGACGCUCAUGCACGAAAGCGUGGGGAGCAAACAGG